rnacentral:misc_RNA from 1 species
UUGGUGGUUUCAUUUCAAAGCCUUUCGAUGAUAUCUAACUUGAUAGUCGAUGGACAUAGAAAGAUGGAGUUCAGUGGAGGCUUUAGCUCAACAAAUUUCAUGGUUGUAUAUGAAGAACAAUUUUUGUUUCCAUUGGAAUAUUGGUAAUGUUGAGAAAAUUACAGAAAAGAAAAGAAACAUGCGGUUUUAUAUUUGGGUUGGGAAAGAAAGAAAAAUUGAAGUAAAUGGAAACAAUAAAAAAAUAAAAUUUAAUUAAUGAAUAAUUAAUAAACAUUAACAAUUUUAAUUUCUUUUUUCCAUAAAUUUUUAAUUUCCAUUAAAAUUAUUAAUUCAGUUUUAAUUUAAUUUUUUUAUCCUAUGUGGGACUCAUUAAAUUGAUUUUAGGCAUAGUUUUAGCAUGGAUUUUUCUAUAAUUAGAGUUAAUAAUUUUUUUUAGGUAUGUAUUUUGCUUUACUAAAGGAUAAAAUUUUGCAUUUUGCUUAAUUAGAGGCUACAAUUUUGCAUUCAAUUGAAAAAUAGAUCAUGGUAUUAUUUUUUUGUUGAUGAUUGAUGAGAAUGUGAUAAUACCAUGAAACUGAAUUUUCGAACAGAA